rnacentral:rRNA from 1 species
UACGUAGGGGGCGAGCGUUGUCCGGAUUUACUGGGCGUAAAGAGCGCGUAGGCGGCUUGUUAAGUUGGCUGUGAAAGGUCCUGGCUCAACUGGGAUAGGUCAGCCAAGACUGGCAAGCUUGAGGGCGGUAGAGGAAGGUGGAAUUCCGGGUGUAGUGGUGAAAUGCGUAGAUAUCCGGAGGAACACCAGUGGCGAAGGCGGCCUUCUGGGCCGUACCUGACGCUGAGGCGCGAAAGCGUGGGGAG